rnacentral:rRNA from 1 species
GCGACCCCAGGUCAGGCGGGGSUACCCGCUG